rnacentral:rRNA from 1 species
CCUACGGGUGGCAGCAGUGAGGAAUAUUGGUCAAUGGGCGGGAGCCUGAACCAGCCAAGUCGCGUGAGGGAAGACGGUCCUAUGGAUUGUAAACCUCUUUAGUCGGGGAGCAAUGCCGGGCACGUGUGCCCGGAGGGAGAGUACCCGCAGAAUACGCUUCGACUAACUCCGUGCCAGCAGCCGCGGUAAUCCGGAGGAUGCGAGCGUUAUCCGGAUUGAUUGGGUUUAAAGGGGGCGGAGGCGGAUGUUUAAGUCAGCGGUAAAAUGUACGGGCUCAACCCGGGCCGGCCGUUGAAACUGGGGAUCUUGAGUGGGCUAGAAGUAUGCGGAAGGCGUGGUGUAGCGGUGAAAUGCAUAGAUAUCACGCAGAACUCCGAUUGCGAAGGCAGCAUACCGGCGCCCGACUGACGCUGAGGCACGAAAGCGUGGGGAUCGAACAGGAUUAGAUACCCGGGUAGUC